rnacentral:rRNA from 1 species
AGUGAACGCUGGCGGUAGGCCUAACACAUGCAAGUCGAACGGCAGCACAGUAAGAGCUUGCUCUUACGGGUGGCGAGUGGCGGACGGGUGAGGAAUACAUCGGAAUCUACUUUUUCGUGGGGGAUAACGUAGGGAAACUUACGCUAAUACCGCAUACGACCUACGGGUGAAAGCAGGGGAUCUUCGGACCUUGCGCGAAUGAAUGAGCCGAUGUCGGAUUAGCUAGUUGGCGGGGUAAAGGCCCACCAAGGCGACGAUCCGUAGCUGGUCUGAGAGGAUGAUCAGCCACACUGGAACUGAGACACGGUCCAGACUCCUACGGGAGGCAGCAGUGGGGAAUAUUGGACAAUGGGCGCAAGCCUGAUCCAGCCAUACCGCGUGGGUGAAGAAGGCCUUCGGGUUGUAAAGCCCUUUUGUUGGGAAAGAAAAGCAGCAGGUUGAUACCCCGCUGUUCUGACGGUACCCAAAGAAUAAGCACCGGCUAACUUCGUG